GACGAACGCUGGCGGCGUGCUUAACACAUGCAAGUCGAGCGGAGCGGCGAACGGGUGAGUAACGCGUGAGUAACUGCCCCCCCCUCUUGGAUAACAGUUGGAAACGGCUGCUAAUACCGGAUAGUGGGGGAUGACUCGCGGCCUAUCAGCUUGUUGGUGGGGUAGUGGCCUACCAAGGCGAAGACGGGUAGCCGGCCUGAGAGGGCGACCGGCCACAUGGGGCUGGGGUACGGCCCAAACGCCUACGGGAGGCAGCAGGGGGGAGUAUUGCACAAUAGGGGAAACCCUGAUGCAGCAACGCGCGUGGGGGAUGACGGCCUUCGGGUUGUAAACCGCGUUCGGCCAUGACGCGGGAGUGGCAGAAGAAGCACCGGCUAACUACGUGCCAGCAGCCGCGGUAAUUC
rnacentral:rRNA from 1 species